AACGAACGCUGGCGGCAUGCCUAACACAUGCAAGUCGAACGAGACCUUCGGGUCUAGUGGCGCACGGGUGCGUAACGCGUGGGAACCUGCCCUUAGGUUCGGAAUAACUCCCCGAAAGGGGUGCUAAUACCGGAUAAUGUCUUCGGACCAAAGAUUUAUCGCCUUUGGAUGGGCCCGCGUUGGAUUAGCUAGUUGGUAGGGUAAAAGCCUACCAAGGCGACGAUCCAUAGCUGGUCUGAGAGGAUGAUCAGCCACACUGGGACUGAGACACGGCCCAGACUCCUACGGGGGGCAGCAGUGGGGAAUAUUGGACAAUGGGCGAAAGCCUGAUCCAGCAAUGCCGCGUGAGUGAUGAAGGCCUUAGGGUUGUAAAGCUCUUUUACCCGGGGUGAUAAUGACAGUACCGGGAGAAUAAGCUCCGGCUAACUCCGUG
rnacentral:rRNA from 1 species